GACGAACGCUGGCGGCGUGCUUAACACAUGCAAGUCGAACGGAAAGGCCCUGCUUUUGUGGGGUGCUCGAGUGGCGAACGGGUGAGUAACACGUGAGUAACCUGCCCUUGACUUUGGGAUAACUUCAGGAAACUGGGGCUAAUACCGGAUAGGAGCUCCUGCUGCAUGGUGGGGGAUGGAAAGAUUCGGCGGUUGGGGAUGGACUCGCGGCUUAUCAGCUUGUUGGUGGGGUAGUGGCUUACCAAGGCUUUGACGGGUAGCCGGCCUGAGAGGGUGACCGGCCACAUUGGGACUGAGAUACGGCCCAGACUCCUACGGGAGGCAGCAGUGGGGAAUAUUGCACAGUGGGCGGGAGCCUGAUGCAGCAACGCCGCGUGCGGGAUGACGGCCUUCGGGUUGUAAACCGCUUUCGCCUGUGACGAAGCGUGAGUGACGGUAAUGGGUAAAGAAGCACCGGCUAACUACGUG
rnacentral:rRNA from 1 species